CCUACGGGCGGCUGCAGUCGAGAAUCAUUCACAAUGGGGGAAACCCUGAUGGUGCGACGCCGCGUGGGGGAAUGAAGGUCUUCGGAUUGUAAACCCCUUUCAUGUGGGAGCAAAUUAAAAAGAUAGUACCACAAGAGAAAGAGACGGCUAACUCUGUGCCAGCAGCCGCGGUAAUACAGAGGUCUCAAUCGUUGUUCGGCAUCACUUGGCGUAAAGCGUGCGUAGGCUGUUUCGUAAGACGUGUGUGAAAGGCGCGGGCUCAACCCGCGGACGGCCCAUGAUACUGCGAGACUAGAGGAAGGGAGGGGGAACCGGAAUUCGCGGUGUAGCAGUGAAAUGCGUAGAUAUCGAGAGGAACACUCGUGGCGAAGGCGGGUUCCUGGACAUUAACUGACGCUGAGGCACGAAGGCCAGGGGAGCGAAAGGGAUUAGAUACCCUUGUAGUC
rnacentral:rRNA from 1 species